CCUACGGGUGGCAGCAGUGGGGAAUAUUGGGCAAUGGAGGCAACUCUUACCCAGCAAUGCCGCGUGAAUGAUGAAGGCCUUCCGAGUGUAAAGUUCUUUAUUUGGGGACGAAAAGAAUGACGGUACCCAAGCAAUAAGCCUCGGCUAACUACGUGCCAGCAGCCGCUGUAAUACGUAGGGGGCAAGCGUUGUUCGGAAUGACUGGGCGUAGAGGGUGUGUAGGCGGUGUAGCAAGUUAGAAGGGAAAAACCUAGGGGCUAACUCCGGUGCUGCUUCUAAAACUGCUAUACUUGAGUGCAGUAGAGGAAAGUGGAAUUCCUAGUGUAGCGGUGGAAUGCGUAGAUAUUAGGAAGAACAUCAGUGGCGAAGGCAACUUACCGGACUGUAACUGACGCUGAGGCACGAAAGUGUGGGUAGCAAACAGGAUUAGAUACCCGAGUAGUC
rnacentral:rRNA from 1 species